rnacentral:rRNA from 1 species
AUUGAACGCUGGCGGCGUGCUUAACACAUGCAAGUCGUGCGGUAACAGGCGUAGCAAUACGUGCUGACGAGCGGCGAACGGGUGCGUAAUACAUGGGAAUCUGCCCUUUAGUGGGGAAUAACCCGGCGAAAGCCGGGCUAAUGCCGCAUAAGAUCUUCGGAUGAAAGCGGGGGAUCGUAAGACCUCGCGCUGAUGGAUGAGCCCAUGUCGGAUUAGCAGUUGGUGAGGUAACGGCUCACCAAGGCGACGAUCCGUAGCUGGUCUGAGAGGACGGCCAGCCACACUGGGACUGAGACACGGCCCAGACUCCUACGGAGGCAGCAGUGGGGAAUAUUGGACAAUGGGCGAAAGCCUGAUCCAGCGACGCCGCGUGUGUGAAGAAGGCCUGCGGGUU